GACGAACGCUGGCGGCGUGCUUAACACAUGCAAGUCGAACGGAAAGGCCCUGCUUUUGUGGGGUGCUCGAGUGGCGAACGGGUGAGUAACACGUGAGUAACCUGCCCUUGACUUUGGGAUAACUUCAGGAAACUGGGGCUAAUACCGGAUAGGAGCUCCUGCUGCAUGGUGGGGGUUGGAAAGUUUCGGCGGUCGGGGAUGGACUCGCGGCUUAUCAGCUUGUUGGUGGGGUAGUGGCUUACCAAGGCUUUGACGGGUAGCCGGCCUGAGAGGGUGACCGGCCACAUUGGGCCUGAGAGACGGCCCAGACUCCUACGGGAGGCAGCAGUGGGGAAUAUUGCACAAUGGGCGGAAGCCUGAUGCAGCAACGCCGCGUGCGGGAUGACGGCCUUCGGGUUGUAAACCGCUUUCGCCUGUGACGAAGCGUGAGUGACGGUAAUGGGUAAAGAAGCACCGGCUAACUACGUG
rnacentral:rRNA from 1 species